ACACGCUGGGCUUGUGGCCUCCCGGUCUCUGUCCCGCAGCCGUGGGGCGGGGACGCGCCUCCCCCCCAGCCCCAUCCCUAUCCCUGCCGAGAGGGAGGGAAAGGGAAGAGGGGGCGGCUGCCCCGUGGUGCCGGGCCGGGGGCGUGUUCCCCGCCGUGGGCAGCUCCGGGGCCGGCCGCCAGCGCGCAUGUGCCGUGGAAAAUUUUGUGUGCUGCCCCUGCGAGCGGAGCGCCGGGCCGGGCUGGCCGCGGGGCGCCACGGGAGCUGUAGUCCGGAGAGAAGUCUGUUUGGAGCCACAUCUUGUCUAUGUGUGUGUCAUUUUGUCUCUUUUAAUACACUGCCCUGAC
rnacentral:lncRNA from 1 species